AGUUCUUAGAGAUAUUGUGACCCAAAAAAAAAAGGAUUUUCUACCACUAAACAAAUAAAAAACAGAGUGCAGUCUUCAACCCAAAAACACAGGCAGUUUUCAAUUGAAAAAAAAACAGAGUGCAGUUUACAGUGAGGUUUUAGGCGUCCCCUAAUUGCCAGACGGUAGAGGGUUUAAGUUUCUAAGAUUUUUUAUGGCUUCAAAAUGGGUAAAAGUAAAGGCCGAGGAAAUACCCGUGAAAUAAUGAUUCGUUAUGCUCCAACCACAUUCUGAUAGUGAUACGACCUUAGGCUCACUGCCCACUGUUCCUGCUCUCUCUCUCUCUCUCUCUCUGACUCUCUCUAGAUGGUGGAAUUUUAGCAUCCCAAUGUGAUUUCAAGAAAAAAGUAUAUCAGUGUAGACUACGGCAGAAGCUGCGCAGCUACUUUGAGAGACCAAAAAGAUUGCGUUUUGCAUCUGCAUUCCCUUCACCAUUACCCUUUCUCAAAAAGCAACAAACCCAGAGCAAGAGACAUUGCCGCCCACCUCACAACUUAUUUAAAACAGCGAAGAAAACAGGGGAAGAGCCAAUUGGGUUUUUGGUGCAAGAGACUCAGUGAGCAGCAGUGUAAGCGAGCCACUUAUGAAUAUGGGUUUGGUAGGAAGCUUGGUUUGGGUGAAUGCAUACAGUAGGAAGCAGUGUAGGAGCCUGUUCUGGAGAAUGCGAGCGGCAUUGAAGAAGGCUCUCAAGAACUCUGGCAAGAAGCAGUUGAGGUUCCAGUAUGAUCCUUCCAGCUAUGCUCUGAAUUUUGAUGAUGGCUCUUGGAAAUCAGCCCAGGAAGCAAAUGCUUUGAAAUUGAAACAUGCAACAAAACCUCAGCCCCAUUCGGAUUCAGAUGUCAAAAACACUGCUUGGGUUUAUGUUCUUUGGGUGGUUUCGGAGUGAUGUUUGCAAGAGGAAAGAGGGGAGCAGAUUGUUUUUUCUUUUUUCUUUGUGUUUGUGUGGUGUCCAAAAAUUUUAGCAGCUAAAGUGCCAUGCUUGUGAAGAGUGUGGUCAUUGUCUAAAAAAUGAAUGGUUAUAAUUACAAGUGUGGCUUAUGAUUUUCUUGUUUCA